UACGUAGGUGGCAAGCGUUAUCCGGAAUUAUUGGGCGUAAAGCGCGCGCAGGUGGUUUCUUAAGUCUGAUGUGAAAGCCCACGGCUCAACCGUGGAGGGUCAUUGGAAACUGGGAGACUUGAGUGCAGAAGAGGAAAGUGGAAUUCCAUGUGUAGCGGUGAAAUGCGCAGAGAUCGGGAGGAACACCAAUGGCGAAAGCAGGUACCUGGACUAUUACUGACGCUCAGCUGCGAAAGCUAGGGGAGCAAACAGG
rnacentral:rRNA from 1 species